rnacentral:rRNA from 1 species
AUAGGGGAGCCGGAGGGAAACCGAGUCUUAACCGGGCGUUAAGUUGCAGGGUAUAGACCCGAAACCCGGUGAUCUAGCCAUGGGCAGGUUGAAGGUUGGGUAACACUAACUGGAGGACCGAACCGACUAAUGUUGAAAAAUUAGCGGAUGACCUGUGGCUGGGGGUGAAAGGCCAAUCAAACCGGGAGAUAGCUGGUUCUCCCCGAAAGCUAUUUAGGUAGCGCCUCGUGAAUUCAUCUCCGGGGGUAGAGCACUGUUUCGGCUAGGGGGCCAUCCCGGCUUACCAACCCGAUGCAAACUGCGAAUACCGGAGAAUGUUAUCACGGGAGACACACGGCGGGUGCUAACGUCCGUCGUGAAGAGGGAAACAACCCAGACCGCCAGCUAAGGUCCCAAAGUCAUGGUUAAGUGGGAAACGAUGUGGGAAGGCCCAGACAGCCAGGAUGUUGGCUUAGAAGCAGCCAUCAUUUAAAGAAAGCGUAAUAGCUCACUGGUCGAGUCGGCCUGCGCGGAAGAUGUAACGGGGCUAAACCAUGCACCGAAGCUGCGGCAGCGACGCUGAUGCGUUGUUGGGUAGGGGAGCGUUCUGUAAGCCUGCGAAGGUGGCCUGUGAGGGUUGCUGGAGGUAUCAGAAGUGCGAAUGCUGACAUAAGUAACGAUAAAGCGGGUGAAAAGCCCGCUCGCCGGAAGACCAAGGGUUCCUGUCCAACGUUAAUCGGGGCAGGGUGAGUCGACCCCUAAGGCGAGGCCGAAAGGCGUAGUCGAUGGGAAACGGGUUAAUAUUCCCGUACUUGGUGUUACUGCGAAGGGGGGACGGAGAAGGCUAUGUUGGCCGGGCGACGGUU